GAGAUACUCCCUCCGUCCGGAAAUACUUGUCAUCAAAAUGGAUAAAAGGAAAUGUAUCUAGACAUAUUUUAGUUCUAGAUUCUUCCCUUUUUAUCCAUUUUGAUGACAAGUAUUUUCAGACGGAGGGAGUAAUGC
rfam:Triticum aestivum genome assembly, contig: Triticum_aestivum_CS42_TGACv1_scaffold_513245_6BS